GACAACAGCCCUACUGCCCUCCCUGGCACAUGCAGGAUGACAGCUCUAUGACUCCUCCAUCCACCACAUAUGCUCAUGGGAAAUACUAAUCCUUGGUGCUAGCAGGAAGUCCUGGACUUUUGCCAUAGACUUCAAUGAUGCCACGAUGACACCCGAUAUACAAAUGCACAAGCAUGUGCUAUCUACUCAUCCAUAUAUCUAGCUUCUACAUAUCUACACCUAAGAGCUGAACUUGCUGCUCGCCACUUCUGGGGUACAGCGCAGUCCACAGUGCCAGGACCAGUGGGAAGCCUGCCUCUGCACCCCCACUGCACAACUGACUGGGAGCUGCCAGAGGUAAGCCCAUACCCAACCCCAUGGCCUGAACUCCUGCCCCAGCCCUGAGCCCUACCUCAAAGUUGGAGCCAUCUCCUGCACCUGAACCCCGCAUCUCAGCCCCAUCCCAGAGUCUGUAUCCUGCAAUUCAGAGCAUUGAUCCCUUCCCACACCCCAACUCCCUGCCGCAACCUGGAACUCUGUCCUACACCCUGAACCCUUCAUUUCCAGCUCUACCACACAGUCCUCACCCCUGCACCCUGAAUCUGCCCCAGCCAGGAUCCCCCUCUGUUAGCCGAUGGUCAGG